rnacentral:lncRNA from 1 species
GAUUAUAUAUACACGUACAUGCAGCUAGUUAUAUAUAGGGUAAAUAUAUAUUUUGGUACUUGAAUUUGAUUUUAAAGUUCAAAUUGGUAUCUAAGGGUUUUUGUUUUGGUCCAAUUAGGUACUUGAACUUGGAUUUAAGGUUUAAUUUGGUACAUGAACUUUGGGUUUUUUGUCCAAAUUAGUACUUAAUUACGGUAAAUGAUUGAACCAAUUUGAGCUAUGAAUCCAAGUUCAAGUAUACUAAUUUGAACAAAAAAAGUUGACGUACCUUGAAACUUGAGGCCAAGUUUAGG